UACGAAGGGGGGCUAGCGUUGCUCGGAAUCACUGGGCGUAAAGCGCACGUAGGCGGACUCUUAAGUCGGUGGUGAAAUCCUGGAGCUCAACUCCAGAACUGCCUUUGAUACUGAAGAUCUUGAGUUCGGGAGAGGUGAGUGGAACUGCGAGUGUAGAGGUGAAAUUCGUAGAUAUUCGCAAGAACACCAGUGGCGAAGGCGGCUCACUGGCCCGAUACUGACGCUGAGGCACGAAAGCGUGGGGAGCAAACAGG
rnacentral:rRNA from 1 species